GGGAUAACACCUGGAAACAGAUGCUAAUACCGCAUAACAACUUGGACCGCAUGGUCCGAGCUUGAAAGAUCGCUUCGGCUAUCACUUUUGGAUGGUCCCGCGGCGUAUUAGCUAGAUGGUGGGGUAACGGCUCACCAUGGCAAUGAUACGUAGCCGACCUGAGAGGGUAAUCGGCCACAUUGGGACUGAGACACGGCCCAAACUCCUACGGGAGGCAGCAGUAGGGAAUCUUCCACAAUGGACGAAAGUCUGAUGGAGCAACGCCGCGUGAGUGAAGAAGGGUUUCGGCUCGUAAAACUCUGUUGUUAAAGAAGAACAUAUCUGAGAGUAACUGUUCAGGUAUUGACGGUAUUUAACCAGAAAGCCACGGCUAACUACGUGCCAGCAGCCGCGGUAAUACGUAGGUGGCAAGCGUUGUCCGGAUUUAUUGGGCGUAAAGCGAGCGCAGGCGGUUUUUUAAGUCUGAUGUGAAAGCCUUCGGCUCAACCGAAGAAGUGCAUCGGAAACUGGGAAACUUGAGUGCAGAAGAGGACAGUGGAACUCCAUGUGUAGCGGUGAAAUGCGUAGAUAUAUGGAAGAACACCAGUGGCGAAGGCGGCUGUCUGGUCUGUAACUGACGCUGAGGCUCGAAAGUAUGGGUAGCAAACAGGAUUAGAUACCCUGGUAGUCCAUACCGUAAACGAUGAAUGCUAAGUGUUGGAGGGUUUCCGCCCUUCAGUGCUGCAGCUAACGCAUUAA
rnacentral:rRNA from 1 species